GGCGAGUAAAGCGGCGCAAGGGUGAGUAACACGUAACCAACCUACCCCGAAGACCGGAAUAACCAUCGGAAACGAUGGGUAAUGCCGGAUGGCCCCAGGACGAGACAUCUCGAUCUGGGUAAACGGUGGCCCUGCCACUGCUUUGGGAGGGGGUUGCGGACUAUUAGCUUGUUGGUGGGGUAACGGCCUACCAAGGCGAUGAUGGUUAGCGGGUCUGAGAGGAUGAUCCGUCACACUGGGACUGAGACACUGCCCAGACUCCUACGGGAGGCUGCAGUCGAGAAUCUUCCGCAAUGGGCGAAAGCCUGACGGAGCGACACCGCGUGCAGGAUGACGGCCCUCGGGUUGUAAACUGCUGUCACACUUCUAGGAAUGGCGUGCGGUUAAUAUCCGUACGUUUGACCAGGGUGAAAGGAAGCACCGGCUAACUCCGUGCCAGCAGCCGCGGUAAGACGGAGGGUGCAAACGUUGUUCGGAAUCACUGGGCAUAAAGAGCAUGUAGGCUGUCUAGUCAGUCGGAUGUGAAGGCCCGCGGCUCAACCGCGGAACUGCAUCCGAUACUGCUGGACUCGAGGAUGGUUGGGGUGAGCGGAACUCCUGGUGGAGCGGUGAAAUGCGUAGAUAUCAGGAGGAACACCGGUGGCGAAGGCGGCUCACUGGACCAUUUCUGACGCUGAGAUGCGAAAGCUAGGGGAGCGAACGGGAUUAGAUACCCCGGUAGUCCUAGCCGUAAACGAUGGGCACUAG
rnacentral:rRNA from 1 species